GUUCGAACCACUACCUCCCGCACUCGACGCUAACGUGCUACCAGGAGACCACCGAGGUGAUUCCUUCAUUAUCAAAAUAAAAUUGAGAAAGGAAAUGGGGAAUGUGUCAAAGCGACAACAACCCUACCAUAGAGCAGACAGCAGCCGAAGGCCACCAAUGGGUCUUCAAUAUAGCGAGAAACUCCCGCACCCGUAAGCGUCCUUCAGCUGGCCCCUUAAAAAGCCUAUAACUGAUAUAAUUAGCUAGAAAAGACACAUGGUUGACUAAAUUAACGUGCAACAUUCCAUAGAUAAAACUAAAGGCUUUAUUUAUGCAAAAAUUAAAAAACAGAAAUCAAUUAUUGCAGACAGCAACCAAUGACAAUCACCAUAUUCCAGGCUCCUACGUUUGGACAUGCACAUAAAGGAUGUGGCGGGGUAAACAUGCGCUGCUCAUCCUCCCCUUACUUGGGACAUUGAGGUAAUAGCAACAGAUCGUUACUUAGUAAAACAAAACAAAAACUUACAAAACGACAAAUGACACAAAAAUGACGAUUUUAGAGUAAUCGAAAGCUAGUUAUAAGCUCAAUUUAAACGAAUGAAUAAGCAAGACUAUCCAUAAAUAUAAAACUAAAAAAAAUAUUAAGUACACCUCCUACGGCUUUAGUGUAACAUCAUAAGCAGUUUGAGAGCAUGAUUUUGUGUAAUGCAAGCAUAUCGACAGGAUAUAGAACCAUAAUUGUUAUUAAAUGUUACAAUACAUGUAGUAAAUAAAGGCAACAGUAGUAUACCGCUGUUCGAAAAUCAUAAAUCGAUUGAGAAAAAAAACAAACCCAGGUUACAAACUAAAACUGAGGGAAACGCAUAUAAGAGGAGAACUACGACACAACAGAAACACAACAUUAAAAUGUAACACACAAAGAAACGAACUAUAAUAUAAAAAUGGCCAUUUUCCUGACUUGGUACAGGACAUUUUAAUAAAAAAAAAAUGGUGGAUUGAACCUGGUUUUGUGGCAUACCAAGCCUCCCGCUUU
rnacentral:lncRNA from 1 species